UAAAAGGUAAGCUAAGUAAAGCUGCUGGGUUCAUACCCCAGAUAUGAGUAUCUCCCUUUUAG
rnacentral:tRNA from 1 species